rnacentral:rRNA from 1 species
UGGGGAAUAUUGCACAAUGGGCGCAAGCCUGAUGCAGCCAUGCCGCGUGUGUGAAGAAGGCCUUCGGGUUGUAAAGCACUUUCAGCGAGGAGGAAGGUGGUGAGCUUAAUACGCUCAUCAAUUGACGUUACUCGCAGAAGAAGCACCGGCUAACUCCGUGCCAGCAGCCGCGGUAAUACGGAGGGUGCAAGCGUUAAUCGGAAUUACUGGGCGUAAAGCGCACGCAGGCGGUUUGUUAAGUCAGAUGUGAAAUCCCCGGGCUCAACCUGGGAACUGCAUUUGAAACUGGCAAGCUAGAGUCUCGUAGAGGGGGGUAGAAUUCCAGGUGUAGCGGUGAAAUGCGUAGAGAUCUGGAGGAAUACCGGUGGCGAAGGCGGCCCCCCUGGACGAAGACUGACGCUCAGGUGCGAAAGCGUGGGGCAGCAAACAGGAUUAGAUACCCUGGUAGUCCACGCUGUAAACGAUGUCGAUUUUGGAGGUUGUGCCCUUGAGGCGUGGNUUCCGGAGCUAACG